UACAAUGGAUCUACGAAAAGAUCGUGUAGUUUACUGAAACCCUUGAAUUCGGAAUAUGGGAAAGUCGCCCCGGGUUGGGGGACUACUCCUUUUAUGGGGAUCGCAAUGGCAUUGGCACCUUUUCGAACACAACUGAUGCAUUCCAAAAUAACUCUGAUUCUAACAUCUUUUCCCUUGGCCAUGAACCUCCUUUUCUUUUUGGAUUGA
rnacentral:rRNA from 1 species